CCACAGAUGAGUAUCGACUUUCUGGAGUUUCCCUUAUCUGACCAGAAGCAGCAACUUCCGGGAAAUAGGGUUGCCAUAAAUUUCCUCUUUGGGGAAAGUCUACUUACUCAUAAAUGCCCUCCCUGGGAGAGUUUUAUGGCUCUCCAGAAGACAGAAAGACCCCGCCCCCCAAACCUGUACAGACAAACAUUAUCACAAACUUCCUCAUCUCUGCAUUUGUUCUCCUGAAAACCUAUCUGUCUUUCCUAAAGAAUCCUGUGUGUUCUUCCCACAGAGCCUUCCCCUCCCACUUCCUCUCCCCUACUAAGUAUAUAAAUUCCAAAUUCUAACCCCCACCUUGGAGUUACUCAUCACGGAGUGUUCCCUCGGCUCUGAGUGCUACACACGCAAAUCUACUCUGUUUUCUUCUCUUACUACUGUCUUUAGUCAGUGCAAUUCAUGGAGCAGGACACUGCAAGUGAGAGGGUCCAGGAAAAGUGUUUUCCUCCUCUACUGACCUGAAGGAAUUAACAGGAAAUCUCGGAGCAAGUACUGAUCAAAGAGGUUGAUGGGGUGUGGGAGUGGGGGAGAGGAGUUUAGCCCUUGAUCUUUAUAGAAACGGUCUCAGUCCUAGACCUGCAAUGUCCAAGAGAGAGCAAGACAGAGAGCAAGCAGGGGAGAAACAGAGAGAGGGAGAUGCAGAAUCUGAAGCAGGCUCCAGGCCCUGAUCUGUCAGCACAGAGCCCAAAGUGGGGCUUAAACCCAUGAACUUUGUGAGAUCAUGACCUGAGCUGAAGCUGGAUGCUUAACUGACGGAGCCACCCAGGCGCCCCUAAUUCUGUCUUUUCAAAAUGUACCAGCGGUAUCUAGAUGAUGUUUUCAUUGGAUAACACUACCCUAGGAUUAUGCUAAAAACAUACAUGUAGAAAAUGUUUGGGAAGAAUCCGGAGUGGAAAGCAUGAAUCCUCUGGACCAAAUAGUGUUCUUUCUGAUAUAAAGGAUAGUGGAUUUUACCUUAUUUUUGGUUAACAAUACUUAAAUCAAUAAACAGAAGUAAUUAUAGGAAAAGAGACAUAA